UCAGAGGGACAGAGGGAAUUAUUCCAUGUAUGGCUGUACUUGCAAUGUGUCCUUGGAAAGAAGGAAAUUUAGGAGCAUUUAUAUUGUCAUAAUUGCUUAGCAUUAAGAUCUUUUCCAAGCAGGCUUUUAUUUCUACCAGUAUGUUUACCAAUUUAUUAUGAAGGAUACAACCAGGAACACCCAAGGAAGAGAACCAUGGAAUAAUGCAUGGCAUUUGAGGGCAUUUCAUCCUCUAUGAAACUCCAAGUGUUCACCCCCCUGAAGCACUGUAUGUUGAUAGAUCUUAAAUGAGAUCUGUGAUUGGUUUUCAUGACUGCAGAUGGAAAACUGAUAUGGUUAAUAUUAUAAUUUAAACUUAAUAGGAAUAUAAUACUUAAAUUGACUAAUAUUGUCAUAUUAUAUUAAUAUAAUGCUCUAAAGAAGUUAAGCUCCUUUGGAGUCUGGUUCUGCCUUUACUAUUUGUAUGAACUUGGGCCAGGCAGUUAAACCAUUUCUGGCUCAAUUUUCUGAACUAAAAGAUGGAAAUGAUAGCAGAAAUCCCACAGGCUUGUUGUGAGGAGUAAAAGGAGAUAAUUGUAUAAUGUGUAUUGAUCAUAUAGUAAGUACUCAAUGAGUAAUGACUGUGACAUUGGUGACAGUGGUUUUGGUAAUGAUGAUCAUUAUAGUCAGAAAGUUAUAAAGAAAACUGAAACUAGCUGCUGAAACAGAUUAAGACAAUGUCCAUUAUUGCUAAAUUUUAAUGUUCUUUAGGGAAUGCCUAUUUCUCUAAUGAUUAUUUAUCCUAUGUUCAUUGUUAAUGAUGUUGCCAAAAUUAUUAACCAGAUGAUUAAUAUUUGGUUUUUAUCCAGUAACCUCAUUUAAACCCACACUAGCAAUUUCAUAAAACCAUUAUCAUGUUCAAACAGAGAAAACUAUUAAUUAGUCUUGCCGUAUGCAUCCAUAUGCUUAGCAUUAAUCAUUGUUUAGCUGGGUAAACAGGGGUUUGCAUUUUAUUCUUGAUGUCAUUAGGGAAAUUAGUGUAAAUGAGAAUUUUUAUUCUAAAAGGCCGUCAAAUAUACCAGGGGUUUUUACAUCCAAAUGUUAUAUGAUAUAAUUUAACAUUCCUUUAAUGAGAAGUCAGCUUUUUUGUAUAAUGUUAGAAAGUCGUUAUGACUUAUUUUUUGUAGAAGAAUUGGAAAUGAGGGAAAGUGCCAAGAGAAUUAAAUCAUUCAUAAUAUUAUUUCACCAUCCACUGUUAAUAUGUCAAUGCAUAUGCUGCUGUUUUAUCUAUUUUGUGUUUUUUUUUGAAAAAAUAUCCAUAUGUAUAUUUUUUUAUUAAGGUCUUGUCACUCACCUCCAAACCUACUCUCUAUACAUUGCUUUGUGAUGCUGUGGCUGGGCUGGGCAAAUCAUAAUACUCUUUUUCUCUUGGUUCCUUGGCAGAUCCUGCCAACUGGGAGAUUAAAAUGAAAAUUGGAAGAAGGUAGAUUGGCAAAAGGAAUUGGUUAAUCUUUCCUUAUUAUUCCAUCAACUGUGCUUUAUUAAGAGCUCUACUAAAAAGGCAGCUGCUGAUUUCUGUAUCAGUUGGUGUUAGUUCCAUUCCAUAUUAUUCCCACACUCCCAGAAUGAAACUUAAGUAUCUUUCCCUGAGGGCUGUGGGUUUCAGUUUCUUGGAGCCUCCCCCUGAGUUCUGAUGGCACCACACAGCCCAGGAGCUCUCUACCUCAGAAUUCCAGGUCCUGGAUCCUUAGGAUAUUUCUUAGAGCUUCUCAGUUUGGAUCAUUCCAAUUUCAUUUCUUCAUUAACCACAGCUCUAGGAACUAUAACUGUUCAGUGUAGUAACUACCAUUGUGACAUUUAAAUGUUUCCCUUUACCUUGCUAGUCUUCCUAUAUUUCUUAAAGUAUUUCCAAUAUUAAAUUCUAUUUAUUAAAAUAAUCAAUGGACUCUGACAUAUGUGUUCAUAUAGAGUUGAUUCUCAGCUUUUUCAUCCAAUUUCUAUCCUUUUCUUAAACUUAUAAGACUCCAGGAGUUCCUGUCGUGGCGCAGUGGUUAACGAAUCCAACUAGGAACCAUGAGGUUGCGGGUUCAGGCCCUGCCCUUGCUCAGUGGGUUAAGGAUCCGGCGUUGCCGUGAGCUGUGGUGUAGGUUGCAGAUGCGGCUCCGAUCCCGAGUUGCUGUGGCUCUGGCGUAGGCCAGUGGCUAAAGCUCCGAUUCAACCCCUAGCCUGGGAACCUCCAUAUGCCAUGGGAGCAGGCCAAAGAAAUAGCAAAAAGACAAAAAAAAAAAAAAAAAAAAAAAAAAAAA
rnacentral:lncRNA from 1 species